rnacentral:rRNA from 1 species
AUGUCAGUUACUUCAGAGUAUUUGGUGCUAGGUGCUGGAUCAAGGAUCCACAUCACACUUCAAAAUUUGAACCAAAAGCACAUGAAGGUUUUAUGCUUGGUUACGGAAAGGAUUCGCACUCCUACAGAGUCUUCAACCUAUUUCACUAUAAAGUGGUUGAAACUGUAG